UACAGAGGGUGCGAGCGUUAAUCGGAAUUACUGGGCGUAAAGCGCGCGUAGGCGGCUUUGCAAGUCGGGUGUGAAAUCCCCAGGCUUAACCUGGGAACUGCAUUCGAGACUGCAUUGCUAGAGUAUGGGAGAGGGAAGUGGAAUUUCCGGUGUAGCGGUGAAAUGCGUAGAUAUCGGAAGGAACAUCAGUGGCGAAAGCGACUCCUGGACCAAUACUGACGCUCAUGUGCGAAAGCGUGGGGAGCAAACAGGA
rnacentral:rRNA from 1 species